rnacentral:lncRNA from 10 species
GAUGUCCAAGAGGAAGGUUAGCUCAGCUGAAGGGUCGGUGAAGGGAGACCCCAUGAAGAGAUCUGCAAGGUGGUCAGCUAAACCUGCUCCUACAAAGCGAAACAAAGCCCAAAAAGGCAGCAGGAAAGGAUAAAUCUUCAGACAAAAAAAAAAAAAAGCAAAUGAAAGAGGAAAAAGGUAAAAACAGGCUGAAGUGCCUGAUCAAGAAACUAAAGAUUUAUCUGCAGAAAGUGGAGACACUGAAAACAAGGAGAGUCCAGCCUCGGAUGAAGCCACAGAUAAAGACAUCAAGAGUCUGAGU